GUACCGGUUGUCACGCCAGUGGCAUCGCCGGGUAGCUAUGUUCGGAAGAGAUAACCGCUGAAAGCAUCUAAGCGGGAAACUCGCCUUAAGAUGAGAUAUCCCCGGGGCUUCGAGCCCCUUGAAGGGUCGUUCAAGACCAGGACGUUGAUAGGUCAGGUGUGCACGUACAGUAAUGUACUGAGCUAACUGAUACUAAUUGCCCGUAAGGCUUGAUCCUAUAACAG
rnacentral:rRNA from 1 species